rnacentral:lncRNA from 1 species
ACUGCGACUUCCCUUGAAAUGGCAUGUCAGGACCAUGGACAGAAGCGCAGGAGUGGGUUAUUCCAAGUCAUUCGGCCCCACCUAGAACCCACAGUCCUGACCAGAGUGUAGAGAGGAAUCUGCUUCACUAUACUAAGAUAUUCCUUUCUCCACUGUCACAGGAGGGUGUAUCUGGGGAGGCACCACAUCAGCUGUGCCCUGAACUGGGACAAAUGGCCAAGGAGGUAAAUGGGGCUUGGGGCCCAGCCUGCCCUCUGCUGGCAGAGCCCUGUACCCUGGUGUGGGGCUGCCUCUGCUCCAAGCAAGAGGUGAAUUUUCUUAUUGGCAAAAAGGUAUGGUGGGGGCUAGCCAGAUCUCAUUAACUUUCAGCCAGAUGUCUCCAAAAUCUUUCUUCCUCAAUUUCUGUCUCUGUCUCUCGUUAAACUAGUGAUUCCAAGACUUUGGGGACAAUAUGAAUGCCUGAAUCCAAAUUUUUUCAAGAAUCACAUGGUCCUGGUGUAGAAUGAUCUUAUUAUCUAAGAAUAUGUUAUUCAAAAGAAUGAUGGCAAGCAUACAGAUGUAAUCUAUGUCCCCAUCCCAUGACAUGAUUUUGAUGGCUGAAACAGUAAAUAAGUAUGUCCCUCAAUCCCUCUUUGCUAUUUGCCCUUGUUUCUUUAAUACCUUGGGUCUCUUUAGCUACUCUCCCAAUUCUCCCCACUCAACCCAUGUAUGCACACUCACACACACACUCUCACACGCACACCCUCACCCUCAGCUCCUACCCCAAAUCAUUUUAUAAACACUUCUAUUCUUGCGUUUUUUUCCUGAUCCUUUCACUUGAUGUUUCUCACAGUCUGGUUUGCUGUUAUAUCUUCUGCACACGAAUUGCUGAGUUGUCUUUAUUCUCUGGACUUAGCUGUAUGUACGACCACCCUGUGGAAAGAAAUUCCUCACAUGAAAAGCAGGUCCAGACUGGCACAGAGACAGCAACUUCGCGGGCACAAGUGACCAGUGAGAUGGUAGUCUCCUGAGUAUUCUCCAGGGACGGU